CACGUAGGGCGCGAGCGUUGUCCGGAAUUAUUGGGCGUAAAGAGCUCGUAGGCGGCCUGUUGCGUCCGCUGUGAAAGCCCGGGGCUUAACCCCGGGUCGGCAGUGGAUACGGGCAGGCUAGAGGUAGGUAGGGGAGAAUGGAAUUCCCGGUGUAGCGGUGAAAUGCGCAGAUAUCGGGAGGAACACCGGUGGCGAAGGCGGGUCUCUGGGCCGUUACUGACGCUGAGGAGCGAAAGCGUGGGGAGCGAACAGG
rnacentral:rRNA from 1 species